rnacentral:misc_RNA from 1 species
GUACAUUAUUAUUACUCCGUAGAGCAUUAAAAUAACAUGCAUAUAAUAACUCGUGUUUAUAAAAAGGGGACUACUCCCGUUACAGUUUCGUCCCAUGGUGCACAGAGGUGUGUGUGGAUAAAGAUUAAGAGUCGAGCACGCGAUCGUUUAGAACGCAGUCUCAAAACUCUGGGUCUUCAGUAAUGAUCCUUCCGCAGGUUCACCUACGGAAA